GCUCGUUAAGAGUCAUCACCACUCCCUAAUCUCAAGUACCCAGGGACACAAACACUGCGGAAGGCCGUGGGGUCCUCUGCCUAGGAAAACCAGAGACCUUUGUUCACUUGUUUAUCUGCUGACCUUCCCUCCACUAUUGUCCUGUGACCCUGCCAAAUCCCCCUCUGCGAGAAACACCCAAGAAUGAUCAAUAAAAAAAAAUAAUAAUAAUAAUAAAAAGAAAGAAAGAAUUAAACAAGAAAAAAAAAAGACCACAAAAAAAAAAAAAAAAAAAGAAAUGUAAUCCCCAAUGCAGGAGAUGGGGCCUGGUGGGAGGUGUCUGUGUCAUGGGACCAAUGACAGAAGAUCCCUCCUGAAUCGCUUGGUGCCCUCCUUGUAGUAAUGAGUGAGUUCUCACUCUGAGUUCAGAGGAGGUCUGGUUGUUCAAAAGAGUGUGGCACCUGCCCUCUGCCCAUGCUCCCAGCCCCAGGGAUUUCUUUUGAGGGGCACAAAAAUCGACUAAAACAGCAACCACAGCCAUUGGUCUUUUAUGUCAUCAUUCUUACAUCUCUUCUCUCCUAGCUUCCUCUCCUAUUUCACUUGCUGUUCCUGGCCUCUUCUUCUAGCUUGACUCUCCUGAUCCCCUUUCUUUUCUGUUCCUUCCCUUCUUUCCACUCUUGUCACUGCCUAAGAUGGUGAUGCUCACAGCUAAGGAGUUUGCUCACCCUGGCCAUAAGACGAAGGGUUAGGAUUGGCUAGUCACUGUUUUUAACUAAACAGGGGUAGACACUUGGCCAUUGGAACCUAGAAUUCUGUCUGUCAUUGGCCUUGGGCUCCGUUUGCUCUGCAUCCCGCAUGUGAACACUGACCGGGGCCUGUUUCCCUCCUACUGCUCCAUCUCCAAGAGCAGCAUGACAGUCACACAUUGCUCAAGCUAGAAAUGUGACAGUAUCUCAGUCUGUCCUCUCCCUUCCAUGUCAUAUCUAAGCAGCCAGGGAGUCCUGUCUAUCCCAAGGCACGCCUCCUGUCCCUUUCCUCUCCACCACACCGCCCCUGCUCAUGCCCACUCUUCUGACUGAACUCAUUACAUUCCCUCCUACCUCGUUUCCCAGGCUCUAAACUCACCUUCUGGGAACCUCUGAUCCCUGCUUACAUCCAUGGCUCCUUCUGCCUCUAAGAUAAGAUGCAUGUACCUUGGCCUGGCCUGCAGGGUCCUCCAGAGCAGGCCCACUUAACCUUGCCAUCUUCAUCUGGCCCUGCGCCUCACACCCUACGUUCUGGCCAUAUUGGACCCUAGCAGUUCUCAAAAAUAUGUGGUGUCCAUCCUACUAUGAAAUUUUAUCUUAUCUUAUGCUAAGACAUUCCUGUUAAUGGGAGGACUGCCCAUGUUUAGCAAAAUACGUAGAUAAACUGCUUUGAAAUAGAAGAUAAGCCUCCAAGGACAUAGAAGAAAAUAAAUAAGAGAUAGCUGAGCCACACCACAUGAGAAAUGAACAGAAAGUCUUCCCUUCUUUUUUUUAAUGUAAGAUACACGCACAUAUAGAAGAGUAAGUCAUAUAUGUUCAGUUUUAAAAAUAAUUGUAAAGCAAAUACACAUGGAACCAUCACCAAGGUCAAGAUGCAGAGCAUGGCCGGGAUUCAGAAGCUCGUCCUGGCCACAGCUUCAGGCGAACAGGGUUCGGGGGUGAGAGAAAUUGGGAAAGAAGACAGAGGAGCAGGGAAAGCUCAGGAUGUGGUGAAUUUGCCUGUUUCCUUCAAUUUCCAGUAGAAAUUCCUAACGUAUCUGAUAAUGGGGAGUGGGCGUGGAAGGUGUUGCAGGAAGCCAAGGGGGUCUAUCCCAUGCUUGGGUUGACCCUGGACAGAGAAAAAGGAACAUCUACAGAUGCAGAAAGAAAAAUAAGAACUCAAAAGAAAUGCAACGGGAGUCAGGGUGAGAUCUGGAUUGCUAAACUGGGUCAUGGCUGUCCUUGAUGCCUUUCCCAGACUCACAUCCUACUUUCAACUUCCAGAAUCAUUCCUGUUCCCUGCCAGGGAAAGGUGAGCCCAAAGAAAAAACCGAGCAUAAAGUAAAGUGCACAUCAUUUAUUUCUUCAGCAUUCACUCACCCAUUCAUUCAGCAGGCAUGUGUUGCACGCCCGGCACUGUGUUAGGGCUGGGGAGACCAUAGACACCAAAAGCAGCCGCCAUCCUUGGCUUAGGGCUCCUUAUGAUCCAGCAGUGAGCACUUUCCCCUGAGCCUGGUGUGGAGGAGAAUUGGCUACACUGCAGGAGGAAGCCACCCCAGGCUCAUUUGGGUCCUUUAAAUAAACCCUUUGGUUCUUCUGGGAUAUGACUGUGUGCUAAUUUCAUGAGAUAGCAUGACAUUGUCACUGCUUUUUAUCCUUCACAAUUGCAUAGGGCAUGUACCAGAGAAAGGAAGAGAGAGAGGAAGUUAGUGCAUAAGUGGAUAAUCCAAGCGAAGUUUCCCUCCUUCCGUUCUCUUUGCAGGUCUAUGUAUUCCUGUGCUUACCUUGUGCGUGCGUGAUGCAUGGAUGUUGCUGCUAGGGGACAUUCAUAUGGACCUAAGUGUCAAGAACACUGGGAGCCAAUAGAUCCAUUUGGACCCAUUUUGGGGACUAAAUGCAGGUUUCAUACCUCAAGCCUCUACAAGAAGAUAAGAAACCCCCACAAAGAAACACUGAGCGCAUGCCCAGAGACCCAGAGACCGGCCGAAGCCAAAGCCAGUGGUUCUCAGA
rnacentral:lncRNA from 1 species